UCAGAGAAUACACAUUGUUCAGCCUUGCAGGAAAAGCCCAGCACAUCUGAGGCAUGGCUGAGCAAGAAGUGGCCGCGCUGGUCCCAGUUCUGAGCUUUUAGGACUGUCUGUCCUUUGGGGAGUGCUGUGUGGAUUUGGUGAUGUUUGUCUGGAUCUCCUGCCUGCCAAGCCCGGCUGGAAAUGAGAUGGUUAAUGAUCGCGCUCCAGGCUCCCCGACACCGCACGGGCUGGGCUGUCACCGGCAGCAGAGGGAAAAGGCUCCUCUCGGGAGGUGUCAUUACUUUGUCAAAUCUGCAAAAGGAAGAAAGAUCUCCGGAAUUUUGGCAGGACAGCACGAGGAACAGAGACACUCCCCGAGCCUGUGAAGAGCCAGGGCCGCAGUUUUACAUUUCUAAUCCGUGGGCUCUCGUUUCCAAUCUGCCUCCUGCUCAUUUCUGCGGGAUGAGCUCAUGGGACACCCCAAGGUAAAGCUGUCCCGCAGCUCUU